rnacentral:rRNA from 1 species
AGCUCCAAUAGCGUAUAUUAAAGUUGUUGCAGUUAAAAAGCUCGUAGUUGAACUUGUGGCUGCUUGCAGAUCCCAUUUUUGGUGAUUCUGUGUUGUUGCCAUCACUGGGUGGAACCUGCGUGGCAUUAGGUUGUUGUUCAGGGGAUGCCUGUCUUUUACUGUGAAAAAAUUAGAGUGUUCAAAGCAGGCUUAUGCUGAAUGAAUAUAUUAGCAUGGAAUAAUGAAAUAGGACCUUAGUACUAUUUUGUUGGUUUGUGCACUGAGGUAAUGGUUAAUAGGGACAGUUGGGGGUAUUCGUAUUCCAUUGUCAGAGGUGAAAUUCUUGGAUUUCUGGAAGACGAACUACUGCGAAAGCAUUUACCAAGGAUGUUUUCA